rnacentral:rRNA from 1 species
GAGACCCACGUCAACAGUUGCCAGCAUGUCCUCCGGGAUGGUGGGGACACUGUUGGGACCGCCUCUGCUAAAGAGGAGGAAGGAAUGGGCAACGGUAGGUCAGCAUGCCCCGAAUUAUCCGGGCUACACGCGGGCUACAAUGGUCAGGACAAUGGGUAUCGACACCGAGAGGUGAAGGCAAUCUCUUAAACCUGUCCUUAGUUCGGAUUGUGGGCUGCAACUCGCCCACAUGAAGCUGGAAUCCGUAGUAAUCGCGUCUCAAAAUGGCGCGGUGAAUAU